rnacentral:piRNA from 1 species
UGGGAUCUCAGUAAUGCUUUGCAGUGC